rnacentral:ncRNA from 2 species
GUCUCGGCCCUCGAGGACGGUCGCAUCCGUACAACGCGGAUGCCAGGGAACCCGGUGCGAAUCCGGGACUGGCGCGCAGCGGUAUGGGGGACGGACCCGACAUCGGCCACUGGAGCAAUCCGGGAAGGCGUCGCGUCCGGGCGAUCCCGAGUCCGAAGACCUGCCGUCCUCGCUGGUGUCCA